rnacentral:lncRNA from 1 species
CAAGUUUGCUUUAAUCAAGAAGUUGCUAAGAACAGAACACUGGGAAGGAUGAGGAGGUUACAAUGAUCACAUACUGAACUGGAGUCAACAAUAUACUCCCUGGAGAAAACCAACACAGAGGAAACAUAUUGCAUUGGGAAGUCUCAGCAGGUGGCCUGCCAGCACCCUCUUCCUUUGAUCUGCCCAGACCAAGUGUCCCAGCACUGCAGCUUUGCUGUUUCAGGUCCCUGAGGUAACAGUACUAACUUGCACGCAUCUCCAUGGCUUUUCAUUGUGCCCUUACGAGUAGCUGUGUAAUAACUUGCCUUCUCCCAGGUGUUCAGCAAGGAUAAAAUACCUUAUUCACUAGAAUUGUUUCCACCUUUAAUAAAUGUCCUAUAGCCCAC